rnacentral:rRNA from 1 species
UACGAAGGGGGCUAGCGUUGCUCGGAUUGACUGGGCGUAAAGGGCGCGUAGGCGGUUCGUACAGUCAGACGUGAAAUUCCUGGGCUCAACCUGGGGGCUGCGUUUGAUACGUGCGGACUUGAGUGCGGAAGAGGGUCGUGGAAUUCCCAGUGUAGAGGUGAAAUUCGUAGAUAUUGGGAAGAACACCGGUGGCGAAGGCGGCGACCUGGUCCGAUACUGACGCUGAGGCGCGAAAGCAUGGGGAGCGAACGGG